GACGAACGCUGGCGGCGUGCUUAACACAUGCAAGUCGAACGGUGAAGGGACCGGUUUUUGCUGGUUCUGGAUGAGUGGCGAACGGGUGAGUAACACGUGAGUAACCUGCCCCCUUCUUCUGGAUAACCGCAUGAAAGUGUGGCUAAUACGGGAUAUUCUGCGCCUGCUGCAUGGUGGGUGUGGGAAAGAUAUUGUUUCGGUGGGGAUGGGCUCGCGGCCUAACAGCUUGGUGGUGGGGUGAUGGCCUACCAAGGCGGUGACGGGUAGCCGGCCUGAGAGGGUGGACGGUCACACUGGGACUGAGACACGGCCCAGACUCCUACGGGAGGCAGCAGUGGAGAAUAUUGCACAAUGGGCGCAAGCCUGAUGCAGCGACGCCGCGUGAGGGAUGGAGGCCUUCGGGUUGUAAACCUCUUUCGCCAGUGAAGCAGGCCUGUCCCUUUUGUGGGUGGGUUGACGGUAGCUGGAUAAGAAGCGCCGGCUAACUACGUG
rnacentral:rRNA from 1 species